UCCUUGUCUUUCUCUGGAGCCUGGGAGUCUUUUUGUUGUGUUUCCUCUCCCCUGCCCAUGGAGAGGACAGAUAGAGUGGCUUGGGUAGGCACCUGGCGUCCAGACAGGCUCAUCCCACCACGUGUAGACAAAUACAAAGGCUAUAUCCAAGCACAGGCUGAGGAAUUGGAACCUAGUUUUCCACAUGGAAUUUUCUAGUAAAUUGAAUGACAUGCAGAGUUUCUUCACAGUUCUCUUUUACUUCUUAUUUAUUAAAAAUUGAAUCUUAUUCUUUCAAUUAAUCCAUUGUCCAGAGUUUUGGGGCGCAAGCACUACAAAUUGUUAGGAAAUGUCUGUGAAAAGGCAUAGUUUAAAAACAAGUGGUGUGCAUGAAUCUUUUGAGGAGAGAACUGUAAUUUCUCUUCUGGUCAGCAGCUGCUUUAAUUUUUGAUCCAUGGAAAGCUUUAAAUGGUGCAACCCCCUGAGUUGUCUCUGUGAUGUGAUCCAUAGGGUUUCUCCAAAGACACUGGUAACAUUCUGCACUAAUGACAUGCUUCUUGGCACGCUGAUGGCAGGAGACAGCGCCCUCUCCACUGUGACCCAUGUUAUUGUGUGUGGAAUCAGGAGGAGUGGAGAAGGACAGAAGUGUAAAUUUUUCUGAACUUCCGUGGUCAGGAGAAAAUCCUUAGGGAGGCUUACAUUGAUGUGGUUCAAUGUGAUUGUGUCAGAAUUUCUCUUACCAUUUGUUUUAGCAAUACAGGUUUUCAGUCCAUUUGUUUGCCCAGAGUUUUCAAGAUAAUGUGGAGUCUAAUUGCUAGCAAAUUAUUCAGAUUGUUAAUUUGUGAUUAUGUCAAUAUUCCUAUUGUGGAAUUGAAUAAGGGGAACUGGAAUGUUUUUGGCAAGAUUUAAGUACUGAAGAUUAAAAGGUAAGUUUAGGUGCCUGCCUGUUUAUCAAAGUUGAAAAAGCAUGAGAAUGAUCUAUACAUUCUUGAUGUCAGCCUACAAACUUUGUAUUUUGAGUCCUUGUUUCCUUCAUUCAUAAUAUAGAUCAAAACAGAAGAAUGAAAAAGAUGAUUAAUCAGUUAUGUGCCUUAACUUACAGGCUUUGUGUGUGACUUGUCUAAGCAAUUUGUCUGUUUUUCUGAUUAUGUGGUGUCAUACAUUUCUUUAAAUGCUUAUCAAUGGUGAAGUGAGAAUUUAUUAAAAUAAGAUUUGUAGUUUGUGGUGUUUUCUUGAAAUUUGGCCUCAAAUACACAAUCAGAGAGGUUUCAGAUAUUCACUUUAGCCUCUGAAGUUAAAGUGUUUAUGGCUUCAGCAUUGCAACGCACUCAGCGCUGAUAAAAACUUUUUGAUGUGUUUUAGUUUCUUUAUGGAUAGUUUUUUAAAAAAACCCUAUUAGUUAAACUAGACUCACACAUUUUAAGGCCUCUGUAAUGUGCCACCAAAACAUGUAUUUUUUUUUUAGAGAAGUUUGUUUUUGUCAGAAGUUGUGAUCCUGAAUCUGUGAUGGUUUUUCAUCUUUUUUUCCCCUUUUGUUACAGGAUGAAGUACAUGAGAGGGAUAGGUUCAGCGACUUCUUGCUAAUAAAACUGAGAGAUGUGCUGCAAAACCAGAAUAAUUUAAAACUAAUUCUCUCUAGUGCUGCUCUAGAUGCAAAUCUCUUCAUUAGGUAUUUUGGAAGCUGCCCAGUAAUACAUAUCCAAGGGAGACCUUUUCAAGUUAAAGAGAUGUUUCUGGAGGACAUUUUACGAAGCACUGGGUAUGCAAACAAAGAGAUGGUGAAGUACAAAGAAAAGAAGCAGCAAGAAGAGAAACAGAAGAACACUCUUGCUGAGUGGUGUUCAGCUCAAGAUAACACUAACAAAGGGACAUCUCGGAGACAAAAAUCAGUUCCAAGGACAAAUGAGGAGUACAAAUGGUUGGAUGAUGGUGGUGACACAGUAUUUAAUCAACUGGUAAGUUUUUUCUUUUGUCGGAAGAGAUGUUUAUAUUUGUGUUGUAUUCUAGCCAUUUAAAAUCUGUUUUCUACAGUUCUGUUGAGUCUUUCAGGAUAUUAACGUAUUUUAAAGAUUACUUGAUUAGGAUGAACUGCUCUAGCUGAAGUGUGCUCUUCAGAUAGGGUGGUUGCACACAGC